AAUGUUGCCUAAAGCCAUCUUCACUUGCCGUCUGAAGCACGCCUUCAAGGGACGAGCAGAUGUUCAGUCACCACUGCACGUUACAGAGAACACAGGUUCAGGGCUCACGAAGCCUCCCUAAAGACUGGUUUGCUGCUUUCUCAGUUUUACUGAUGGCAAAGCAACUACAAAUAUCUAAAGGUAACCAGUUAACCACUCUUUGCCUUCAUAAUGGGAUCAUCUGGAGAUGAGUUACCUCCUUCUCUGAAGUAUGUUGCAAUCCGAAGAGCUAACGCAGUAUUAGUUUCAUGUGAUGGGGCCCAUUUAAUAUGCAGUGGAGAAACAGA